GAUGAACGCUAGCGGCAGGCCUAAUACAUGCAAGUCGAACGAUACCAGAGAGCUUGCUUUCUGGGAAAGUGGCGCACGGGUGCGUAACGCGUAUGCAACCUACCUUAAUCAGGGGGAUAGCCUCUCGAAAGAGAGAUUAACACCGCAUAACAUCAUUUUACGGCAUCGUAGAAUGAUCAAAUAUUUAUAGGAUUAAGAUGGGCAUGCGUGACAUUAGCUAGUUGGUGAGGUAACGGCUCACCAAGGCUACGAUGUCUAGGGGAUCUGAGAGGAUGACCCCCCACACUGGUACUGAGACACGGACCAGACUCCUACGGGAGGCAGCAGUAAGGAAUAUUGGUCAAUGGAGGCAACUCUGAACCAGCCAUGCCGCGUGCAGGAAGACGGCCCUAUGGGUUGUAAACUGCUUUUAUACGGGAAUAAACCUCUCUACGUGUAGGGAGUUGAAUGUACUGUAAGAAUAAGGAUCGGCUAACUCCGUGCCAG
rnacentral:rRNA from 1 species